ACCACAACAGCAGCAACAACCACAGCCCCCGCAACCACAACAGUAGCUGCAACCACAGCUGCCGCAACCACAACAGCAGGCGCAACAACAACAGCCGCCGCAGCCACAACGAUUCCACCAGUACUGAUACCCAACAGUAUCGUAGAAAGUCUAUCGAGCCCCAUCUCCAACCAAGGCUGCAGUAGUUCCCAGCUCUGUGCCUCACAGCCACAGAGCUGUGACCCAUCGGUGGCUGGAUCCUGUUUCUUUGUGGGUGCCAGACGGACUGCCGGACAGAACUUUGAGUUUGGACUCUCUGGACAGUCCGAUGGCUACAUAGGCUGCACGUUGUCAGCAGACAAUGCUUUGGGAGGAGGAGAUACUACUUACGUUUGCGCCAACAACAAUGGAAGGGUCGAAUUCAUCGGAACGAUCUUGCAAAACGGUCGAUUGAUUCGACGAACUCUGAAUGCAAACUCGGUGAGGGGACGCAUCGACGGAAACAGAAUCCAGUGUACGUUCGCAGCCACUAUCCCCGAUGCGACAGUCAGAAUGACGCCGUCUACCUUUUCGUUAGCUCUUGUCACCGGAGCAUUCAACCCCGCCACCGAUGUUCUGGGAGCUCCCGAGGCCAGAGUCCAGACAGAAAUGUUGGAGCUGGGCAAUCCCAACUCCAAUAGCACCAACGUCAUCACCUCCGCCGGCGGCAGGCCAACCUACCAGGCACUGUCACAAGCUCUGCUCAUCAUCCUAGGGACCGUGAGCCUGACCUUGCUAUAAAGCAGCUUUCAGAAGGUCCAAAAGUGGCAAAAACCUACAUUACAUAUAAUUAACUACAUAAAAAAAAUAUGUAUAAUUUGUAAAAUACUUUUCAAUCCUCUCUCUUCGUUGAAUGAUGCCGCUGGAUGGCAGAAACAAAGAUUAUAUUUAAUUAGCCCUGAAUAUAAUUUUUGGGUGAAAAUAAUUAUUAUAUAAUUAUUUAUUAAACACCAAUAUUUAUUGGAAUAUUUACUGGUAAUUAUGGAAUGCAUUAAUUCAGUCUAGAAGUGAUGAAAUGAUUCUAGUCA